rnacentral:rRNA from 1 species
GGAGUCGAGUAUGAAUGGGUCUACGGAAACAAGCUGUCUCUUUUUGGUUAUAUUGAAGUUUCUUUAAGGGUGCAAAGUCCCUUGAUUAGAAAAAAGACGAGAAGACCCUUAGAGUUUUUAUUAAAGAUAAGAAUUUAUUUAAGUUUUUGCUGGGGCGGCAAAGAGACAAAGCAAUUAAACUCUCUUUUUAUUGUUUUUAGAAGACGAAGAUGUUAAGAAUCAUUAAACUACCUUAGGGAUAACAGCAUAAUUAAAUUUUAGUUUGUGACCUCGAUGUUGGACUAGGAAGGCUUUUGACCAGCAGUCAA